AUCAAGUGGCCUUACUAGGAUUACUCUUAAACUUACUCUGAUUGGCCCAUUUGUUUAUGUAUAUAUAUAUAUAUAUAUAUUUAUUUAUCAUCAAAGCCACACACAUACCACUUCUUCUAUGCUAUAUAUAUUGACUUUAGUCAUAGUCUGGUGUGAGAGACAUUGAUAGUAGGAGUAUUUUUGGUUCUUUCAUUCUUGGCUUUUCUCAGGAAACAACCAAAGGUGAGGUGGAAAAUCUUGUUGGGUUAAUACCUUACUUCAUGUUGGCCCCUCGUCUUUAUUGGAGGGCCCUCUUUUUGUGAUUGAAAGAGCCAAAAUGCUUUGUAUUUGUUGCUACUCUAGGGUUAGGCACAUGCUGAUGUGUGCUUAUCAGUAUCAUUUCUGAACAGUGUGGGUAAGGUCAAGUCAGGUUGUACUAUGCAGUUUCUUAUUUGUUAAUUGUACUUAGCAUUUGGAAUUUUCUUUAAUAUUCCAUAUCAAAGAAUAGUACCUUCCUAUAUGGUGUUACAUGAUAUUUCAUUAUUGCUAGCCUUUGGCCAUAUCAAAGAGGUAUCUUUUCUUUCUUUC